rnacentral:rRNA from 1 species
UCGAGCGAGCUGAAUUCAAAGAUUCCUUCGGGAUGAUUUGUUGGACGCUAGCGGCGGAUGGGUGAGUAACACGUGGGCAAUCUGCCCUAAAGACUGGGAUACCACUUGGAAACAGGUGCUAAUACCGGAUAACAACAUGAAUCGCAUGAUUCAAGUUUGAAAGGCGGCGUAAGCUGUCACUUUAGGAUGAGCCCGCGGCGCAUUAGCUAGUUGGUGGGGUAAAGGCCUACCAAGGCAAUGAUGCGUAGCCAAGUUGAGAGACUGAUCGGCCACAUUGGGACUGAGACACGGCCCAAACUCCUACGGGAGGCAGCAGUAGGGAAUCUUCCACAAUGGACGCAAGUCUGAUGGAGCAACGCCGCGUGAGUGAAGAAGGUUUUCGGAUCGUAAAGCUCUGUUGUUGGUGAAGAAGGAUAGAGGCAGUAACUGGUCUUUAUUUGACGGUAAUCAACCAGAAAGUCACGGCUAACUACGUGCCAGCAGCCGCGGUAAUACGUAGGUGGCAAGCGUUGUCCGGAUUUAUUGGGCGUAAAGCGAGCGCAGGCGGAAUGAUAAGUCUGAUGUGAAAGCCCACGGCUCAACCGUGGAACUGCAUCGGAAACUGUCAUUCUUGAGUGCAGAAGAGGAGAGUGGAAUUCCAUGUGUAGCGGUGGAAUGCGUAGAUAUAUGGAAGAACACCAGUGGCGAAGGCGGCUCUCUGGUCUGCAACUGACGCUGAGGCUCGAAAGCAUGGGUAGCGAACAGGAUUAGAUACCCUGGUAGUCCAUGCCGUAAACGAUGAGCGCUAGGUGUUGGGGACUUUCCGGUCCUCAGUGCCGCAGCAAACGCAUUAAGCGCUCCGCCUGGGGAGUACGACCGCAAGGUUGAAACUCAAAGGAAUUGACGGGGGCCCGCACAAGCGGUGGAACCAUGUGGUUUAAUUCGAAGCAACGCGAAGAACCUUACCAGGUCUUGACAUCCUGUGCUACCCUAGAAAAAUAGGUGGUUCCCUUCGGGGACGCAAAGACAGGUGUGGCAUGGCUGUCGUCAGCUCGUGUCGUGAAAAAGUUUGGGGUUAAGUCCCGCAACGAGCGCAACCCUUGUCUUUAGUUGCCACCAUUAAGUUGGGCACUCUAAAGAAACUGGCGGUGACAACCGGAGGAAAGGGGGGGGGGGUGGAAGUCCUCGCUAAUCAUGGCCCCCUAAUAGACGGGGGCGACAACCUGGUAUCAAUGGGGGGGUCAAACAGGAAGGGAACCACCCCGGGGGGAGUCGGAUCUUC